rnacentral:rRNA from 1 species
GACAAACGCUGGCGGCAUGCCUAACACAUGCAAGUCGAACGGACAGAACAGGGAAGCUUUUCGGAGUGGAACUGGAAAGUUAGUGGCGGAUGGGUGAGUAACGCGUGGACAACCUACCUUGUAAAGGGGAAUAACCUCGAGAAAUCGAAGCUAAUACCCCAUAAUAACCUUGCUUCGCAUGAAGUAAGGAGGAAAGGCGGCCUUAGCGCUGUCGAUACAAGAUGGGUCCGCGUCUGAUUAGCUAGUUGGUGAGGUAAAGGCUCACCAAAGCGACGAUCAGUAGCCGGCCUGAGAGGGUGAACGGCCACAUUGGGACUGAGACACGGCCCAAACUCCUACGGGAGGCAGCAGUGGGGAAUCUUCCGCAAAGGGCGAAAGCCUGACGGAGCAAUGCCGCGUGAGUGAAGAAGGCCUUCGGGUUGUAAAACUCUGUCCUUAUCGAAGAGAGAGUGUUGUAGUAACUGACAAUACUAGGACGGUAGAUGAGGAGGAAGCCCCGGCUAACUAUGUG